rnacentral:rRNA from 1 species
UACGGAGGGUGCAAGCGUUGUCCGGAUUUAUUGGGUUUAAAGGGUGCGUAGGCGGCCCGUUAAGUCAGUGGUGAAAGCCUCCAGCUCAACUGGAGAACUGCCAUUGAUACUGACGGGCUUGAGUACAGACGAGGUUGGCGGAAUUGAUUGUGUAGCGGUGAAAUGCAUAGAUAUGCCAUAGAACACCUAUUGCGAAGGCAGCUGGCUAGACCUAUAUUGACGCUGAGGCACGAAAGCGUGGGGAGCGAACAGG